CACAUCAUCCCAACAAAAGGAUGCCUUCAGUGACCCGCUGGAGCCCUCUAGAGUUUAGAUCCAGUCUGACUCCAGAUGGAGGCCAGGAAAUGAAAGAGGAAGUCUGGUUGCAUGGAUGUUGGUCUCCAUGGAUACACCACAACAAAUCAGCACCGAGGCAGAGAUUUAGCAGAAGCGACGGAGGCGUAUUUUUAAACUGUUUAGAGUUCAGUUUCCGAGUUCUCUGAGGUUGUUAAUCCUGACUGAGCGGAGGCCAUGUACAGAGUUUCCUCGUCGGUUAAAGUGAAGCAGAUGGAGGCAGAGCUGUCGCAUCAACUCGCAGCUCUCAGGGCGGAAAUCGAGGAGAAUGGGUUUCCACGAGGAGCAGGGACGGCCAACUCUUACAGCUCUGUUCCACCUCCCAAAGAUGUUUCCUUCUUUCGUCUGGAGAGGGAACAUGCACUGAGGAGGGAGCUGCAGGUGGCUGAAGCUUCGCGGGUUCAGUCUGCGGCUGACGUCAUGCAGGAAGAGCUGCAGAGCUGCUGGAGUUUAGAAUACAGUCCUGAAAAUCUGCUGCUUCUGCUGCACCAGUUCUUCAUGGACAGAUCGUAUCACCUGGCUCAGAUCAAAUAUCAACUCAUGCUGAGAUGGAGGAGAUUCUGUCGCCACACCGGCGUCAUCGAGAAGCUUUAUCCUCAUUACAAGGUGCAAUCCUGUGGGAGAGAAGUGUAUGUGGCAAACAGGCUGGGGACCUGGAACCUUUGACUGAAUUUUCUCUCUCAUAUCUACCUAGGGAACUGAUACCUACACAUCUACUACAAUACAAGGAAAAACAACACAAGCCACAAGAAUAUCACAGGCCCUCUCAACAAUGACCCUGAGGUGACAUCAACACUAUAAAUGAACUUUCACCGAACCUAUGAUCAUCUACACCUAUGAGCCUGGUUGAAGUUCUGUUUGGGGUCAAGUUAGAAGAUCAUCACUCUGGCUUGACAUGGUAACCUCUAUCACCCAGCAGAAGACCAUCAAACUCUCCUGUAAUGUACACUGGAUACAUUAGAGUAUAUUGAAGAACAUAGACAAGUCAAUCAUAUUGUUAAAAUCUUUAGGCAGCUUAGCACAUUGCAGUCUAUUGCUCAGGUUAAACUCAUCACAAAUCCUCUAGUCAUGAACAAAACCAGGCUACUUGACCUCCACAUUAGAAAUAAUAUAUGCAGCAUCACAUAUGAUCUUGACAGUGCAGAGAAUAACACAUGUUGAACUAUAAUGCAGCCUUUAACAUGUUGAAACUGUACUCAAUCUACCUCUAAC
ensembl:lncRNA